rnacentral:rRNA from 1 species
AUUGAACGCUGGCGGCAGGCCUAACACAUGCAAGUCGAGCGAGCGGCGGACGGGGGAGUAAUGCCUAGGAAUCUGCCUGGUAGUGGGGGAGAACGUAGGGAAACUUAAGCUGAUACCGCAUACGAUUGAAUGAGCCGGUGUCGGAUUAGCUAGUUGGCGGGGUAAAGGCACACCAAGGCGACGAUCCGGAGCUGGUCUGAGAGGAUGAUCAGCCACACUGGAACUGAGACACGGUCCAGACUCCUACGGGAGGCAGCAGUGGGGAAUAUUGGACAAUGGGCGCAAGCCUGAUCCAGCCAUACCGCGUGGGUGAAGAAGGCCUUCGGGUUGUAAAGCACUUUUGUUGGGAAAGCGGUACCCAAAGAAUAAGCACCGGCUAACUUCGUGCCAGCCGCCGCGGUAAUAC